rnacentral:lncRNA from 1 species
UAGUACUGAGACAAGGUUCACAGCAUUGUUGUCAAGAAUGCUGAGACCUGAAAUCUUCUUUACUGUUGGUCCAGGUUUUCCAACAACCUGCGGAGAGAUUACAAAUCAGAAAAAAGGUCAUGAUGUGGUAAGCACACUUUAGUGGUUCACUUAUAAUCGCAUACCGGGAGCUUGUUUUCCUUUUUGAAGUCCCUCUCUGUUUUAAAAAUCUGUGGCGUUUACUUUAAAUUUACCUUAUUUCUAACACUGCAGAACCCACUGAAUUGAAGGGUUGCUCCCAACAGCGAAUCUAUGAUACUUCCUAAAAGUCCUGCCACUGCAGAGAGGGGUAUAACCAGUAGCUGCUUCAUGGCCAUACCAGUUGAACAUGUUGUAGUGAAAAAUCCAACAAGAACAAAUGUC